CACGUAGGGUGCAAGCGUUGUCCGGAAUUAUUGGGCGUAAAGAGCUCGUAGGCGGCUUAGUAAGUCGGGUGUGAAAACUCUAGGCUCAACCUAGAGACGCCACCCGAUACUGCUAUAGCUAGAAUCCAGUAGGGGAGUGUGGAAUUCCCAGUGUAGCGGUGAAAUGCGCAGAUAUUGGGAGGAACACCAGCGGCGAAGGCGUCACUCUGGGCUGGUAUUGACGCUGAGGAGCGAAAGCGUGGGUAGCGAACAGG
rnacentral:rRNA from 1 species